AUGCAUAUGAUGAAGCAAAUUAGUAUGAAUAAAAUUUGAUAGUGCAAACAGUCUCUGAUGAA
rnacentral:snoRNA from 1 species